UACGUAGGAUGCAAGCGUUUAUCCGGAAUUAUUGGGCGUAAAGCGUGUGUAGGCUUCUGCGUAAGUUUCUCGUUAAAGCCCGGGGCUCAACUCCGGAAUCGUGAGAAAGACUGCGCGGAUGGAGGUACGGAGAGGCAGAUGGAAUUCCUAGUGUAGCAGUGAAAUGCGUAGAUAUUAGGAAGAACACCAAUGGCGAAGGCGGCUUUUUGGUCUGUAACUGACGCUGAGGCGCGAAAGCGUGGGGAGCAAACAGG
rnacentral:rRNA from 1 species